rnacentral:hammerhead_ribozyme from 1 species
GUACUACUGAAGAGCCCAAAAAUAGGACGAAACAGCUGUCCAGUAC